rnacentral:rRNA from 1 species
AGAAUCAACGCUGGCGGCGUGCCUAACACAUGCAAGUCGAACGAGAAAGUGGAGCAAUCCAUGAGUAAAGUGGCGCACGGGUGAGUAACACGUGACUAACCUACCCUUGAGUGGGGGAUAACCUAGGGAAACCUGGGCUAAUACCGCAUAAUACCUUCGGGUCAAAGGAGCAAUUCGCUUAAGGAGGGGGUCGCGGCCGAUUAGUUAGUUGGCGGGGUAAUGGCCCACCAAGACUGUGAUCGGUAUCCGGCCUGAGAGGGCGCGACGGACGACGACUGGAACUGAAACACGGUCCAGACUCCUACGGGAGGCAGCAGUGGGGAAUUUUGCGCAAUGGGGGAAACCCUGACGCAGCAACGCCGCGUGGAGGAUGAAGUCCCUUGGGACGUAAACUCCUUUCGAUCGGGACGAUAAUGACGGUACCGAGAGAAGAAGCCCCGGCUAACUUCGUGCCAGCAGCCGC